GUUGUUCACAACAUCAUACGAGUAAGUGUGUUUAACUGUUUAUGCGCGCGAUGUUCUGUGCAAAGAAUCUGAAAUUAGAAUUUCAUCAGUUAUCAGUCUAUAAACAUUGUUUUUAGUGUUGCGAAAAAGAUAACGUUGAAUUGAUUCGUUUAUUGGGUGCAUUUAACGCGGGUACCAGAACCAGAUCAAACAAAAGAAUCAUUCUAAAAGCAGAUUAUAGCAGAACUUACUUACUGGAUCAGAGAUAUUAAACGAAUGACUUACACUUUAUAGAUAAUGGCUCCCACAAUAACUGCGAGUACAUUAGACUUGGAGAAUUUAACAAUCGCAUGGGCUGUUACAGUCUUGAUAUUUUUCGUGUGUUUCGCUUAUUUCGGUUUGAAAUUGUGCAUCAGCAUUGGAACAAGAUGUGACGACGAUGAAGAUGAAUUAGGAAACGAGGAAGACAAAGCACCAUUGAGAGAAAACGAAUUCUGCGAAAAAUUUAAUCCACCUAUGACUCAUUUUCAGCACUUGAAUCAUAUGGAAGUUACACCUCUAACUGCAGACUGUUCUAGUGUUAAUUAAGUUCCUUCGUCUAGUUUAAUGGCUGUAUGAAGUGGUAUUCCCAUUGUUACUAAUUCAAAUAUACUAAAUAACAAUUAUUGAGUUCAA